UACGUAGGGUGCAGGCGUUAAUCGGAAUUACUGGGCGUAAAGCGUGCGCAGGCGGUUUGCUAAGACAGGUGUGAAAUCCCCGGGCUUAACCUGGGAACUGCGCUUGUAACUGGCAAGCUAGAGUGUGGCAGAGGGGGGUGGAAUUCCACGUGUGAGCAGUGAAAUGCGUAGAGAUGUGGAGGAACACCGGAUGGCGAAGGCAGCCCCCUGGGCUAACACCUGACGCUCAUGCACGAAA
rnacentral:rRNA from 1 species